ACCUCAAAGACAAUAUGGUUUGGUAGAGAUGCACUUGGAAGGCGAAGUCUUCUAAUUCAUCAGCCAAAUUUAAAAGACUCCCGACUCAUGCUUCUUCUGUAUCACCACCUUACGCUCUUCAUGCCGAUUUUGGAUCUGAAAAUGGACCCGGUGAACCAAGCUUUUGGGAAGAGCUUCCAUGUGGAGUUUACAGCUUGUCCAUGAAUGCUUCAAAA
rnacentral:lncRNA from 1 species